GCCAGUGUGGUGCAAUGGUUUGACCACUGGACUAUGACUCUGGAGACCAAGGUUUGAUUCCCAGCUCAGCCA